AUUGAACGCUGGCGGCAGGCCUAACACAUGCAAGUCGAACGAGUGGCGGACGGGUGAGUAAUGUAUGGGGAUCUGCCUGAUGGCGGGGGAUAACUACUGGAAACGGUAGCUAAUACCGCAUACCAUCAGAUGAACCCAUAUGGGAUUAGCUUGUAGGUGAGGUAACGGCUCACCUAGGCGACGAUCCCUAGCUGGUCUGAGAGGAUGAUGAGCCACACUGGGACUGAGACACGGCCCAGACUCCUACGGUAGGCAGCAGUUGGGAAUAUUGCACAAUGGGCGCAAGCCUGAUGCAGCCAUGCCGCUUGUAUGAAGAAGGCCUUAGGGUUUUAAAGUACUUUCAGCGGGGAGGCGUUACCCGCAGAAGAAGCACCGGCUAACUCCGUGCCAGCAGCCGCGGUAAUUC
rnacentral:rRNA from 1 species